GCUGGGGCCAUCUGUCUAAAGGCAGGCACGGGUGUCAGGAAGGGAGGGCCUUUUCCAGGCUCUUUCCAGUCUGGACCUCAGACAUACUGGGAGAUAAAGGGAUGAAGAAAAGGAUAUGAUAAAUAUCUUGACUGCAGGAAGUGGUGUUCUAAGGACAUUAGUCACUUCGGAUAAAGUUGCCAAAGAAGGCAAUUCCAGCAUGUAAAGAAGGAGAGGGUCCAAGUGUUUGCGUUCCUGGGUGUGAAGAUGAUGGUGUAAACCUCUGUCUGGUCAGUUUGUCCCCACGAGCUGAACCUGGCGUGGUGGUGCCUGCAGCUGCUGGAGUGGAGAGCGAGGUGAAAACCCGCAGGAGAGCUGUACCGUGGGUGCUCCUCAGCCAUAACCUCCAGCCGCGCCCUCGUUUCCCUUUGACAGAGGGAGGAGGCUGGCGCAAGAGCUGUUUCAUCAGCCCCUGGCUGCAAUCAGAUUGUACAUGUAGCGGGUUGGUAUCCCUUCAAUGGCUGUAUGGAACGAUUACACCAGAUUACCCAGUGCACAGCCUGCUCUUUCACUCACCUCCACAGGUUUUACUCCAUAGUUGUCAGGCAGGCAGGACAUUUUGGUAU